rnacentral:tRNA from 1 species
GCAGAGAGGUGAUGCGCUUGACUGCUAAUCAAAAGGUUGGAGGUUCAAAUCCACC